rnacentral:rRNA from 1 species
GAGUGAAGAGGAAAGAGCUCAAAGUUGGAAACUGUUUGGCUUAGCUAAACCGUAUUGUAAACUGUAGAAACAUUUUCCUGGCACACCAGAUUAAUAAGUCCUUUGGAACAAGGCAUCAUGGAGGGUGAGAAUCCCGUCUUUGAUCUGAGUAGUUGUCUUUUGUGAUAUGUUUUCAAAGAGUCAGGUUGUUUGGGAAUGCAGCCUAAAUUGGGUGGUAAAUCUCACCUAAAGCUAAAUAUUUGCGAGAGACCGAUAGCGAACAAGUACCGUGAGGGAAAGAUGAAAAGAACUUUGAAAAGAGAGUUAAACAGUAUGUGAAAUUGUUAAAAGGGAACCGUUUGGAGCCAGACUGGUUUGACUGUAAUCAACCUAGAAUUCGUUUUGGGUGCACUUGCAGUCUAUACCUGCCAACAACAGUUUGAUUUGGAGGAAAAAAUUAGUAGGAAUGUGGCCUCUCGAGGUGUUAUAGCCUACUAUCAUACUCUGGAUUGGACUGAGGAACGCAGCGAAUGCCUUUAGGCGAGAUUGCUGGGUGCUUUCGCUAAUAAAUGUUAGAAUUUCUGCUUCGGGUGGUGCUAAUGUUUAAAGGAGGAACACAUCUAGUAUAUUUUUUAUUC